rnacentral:rRNA from 1 species
UACGUAGGGGGGCAAGCGUUGUCCGGAUUUAUUGGGCGUAAAAGAGCGUGUAGGCGGCCCAGGUAGGUGGGUUGUGAAAACUGGAGGCUCAACCUUCAGACGUCGACCCAAACCCCCUGGCUAGAGUCCGGAAGAGGAGAGUGGAAUUCCUGGUGUAGCGGUGAAAUGCGCAGAUAUCAGGAAGAACACCCGUGGCGAAGGCGGCGUCUCUGGGACGGUACUGACGCUGAGACGCGAGAGCGUGGGGAGCGAACAGG